rnacentral:rRNA from 1 species
GUAGGUGGUUUGUCGCGUUGUUCGUGAAAUCUCACGGCUUAACUGUGAGCGUGCGGGCGAUACGGGCAGACUUGAGUACUGCAGGGGAGACUGGAAUUCCUGGUGUAGCGGUGGAAUGCGCAGAUAUCAGGAGGAACACCGGUGGCGAAGGCGGGUCUCUGGGCAGUAACUGACGCUGAGGAGCGAAAGCGUGGGGAGCGAACAGGAUUAGAUACCCUGGCAGUCCACGCCGUAAACGGUGGGUACUAGGUGUGGGUUUCCUUCCUUGGGAUCCGUGCCGUAGCUAACGCAUUAAGUACCCCGCCUGGGGAGUACGGCCGCAAGGCUAAAACUCAAAGAAAUUGACGGGGGCCCGCACAAGCGGCGGAGCAUGUGGAUUAAUUCGAUGCAACGCGAAGAACCUUACCUGGGUUUGACAUGCACAGGACGCCGGCAGAGAUGUCGGUUCCCUUGUGGCCUGUGUGCAGGUGGUGCAUGGCUGUCGUCAGCUCGUGUCGUGAGAUGUUGGGUUAAGUCCCGCAACGAGCGCAAGCCUUGUCUCAUGUUGCCAGCGGGUAAUGCCGGGGACUCGUGAGAGACUGCCGGGGUCAACUCGGAGGAAGGUGGGGAUGACGUCAGGUCAUCAUGCCCCUGAUGUCCAGGGCUUCACACAUGCUACAAUGGCCGGUACAAAGGGCUGCGAUGCCGCGAGGUUAAGCGAAUCCUUUUAAAGCCGGUCUCAGUUCGGAUCGGGGUCUGCAACUCGACCCCGUGAAGUCGGAGUCGCUAGUAAUCGCAGAUCAGC